GUUCAUCUUGGUUGGUUGAAGCGAUUUUUUGACGUACGGAGUGAAGUUUUUGGCAACGUCUUCCUGGUGCUACGGUUUUUUCCGUUAAUUUUCCUUUUCCUUUUUGCGUAAUGAGAAUGGAAGAAACUAUUUGUUCAAGAAUUUGUUCUGAAACUGGUACUAAGUAGAAAUAUCAUAUUCCUACAAGUUUGGGGGAAGUGAUUUCCUUGUGUCACCAAUAUCAAUUCCAACUUCGGCCAGAUGGAUGGCGGAAAUCCAUUUUGUGAUACCUCAAGUCAUGUCACUAGUAAGAUCAUCGUCUCGGGAGUGUAUUCUGACCUCCAGUCCAUAGACAGUCCGUCCG
rnacentral:sRNA from 2 species